UAACUCUUGCAUUCCGUGGGACCUUCCCCAUUGGUGGCAACAUCAGACCUCAGAAGACUUUCUGGAUCGCCUAGCAAACCAUCUAACCAGGUGUCCUCUACACAGGCUUCUCCGAAAUUGGAGUUCCAGAAGCCAUCCUUGGAUAACAUCUCUAUAAUCUCCUGGGAGAAUCCUUCUUCCAAGAAAUCCUCCAUCAGAGGAGAGUUCUUGGUCUCAGUCGCAUCUGAAAGAUUUCAGACCAUUCAGCACAAGAGGGACAACCCAGCUUCCUCGUGGGGUGACUGGAGGAUUGAACGAGCAAGUCCGAAGAGCUGCUACUCAAUCGUUCCAUUAAUUUAGAGCUGUCCGCUGGGCCCUGGAGCAGGAACUGUUUGUUCCAAACACUGGGGACACGCCCCUGUCCUCACACGGCUCCCGCUCUGAUGAUAAAAUGGUAGUUAGAACGUGAUGGAGCGAUGGCCAAGAUGAGCAGGAGAGGAGAUACGGAGUUCUCACAGGGUCCCAGGUCAGAUUGAAGAAGGUAAGCCCUGAGAGCCACUUAGGCAGAGGGGAGGGCAACAGGAAGACCCUGAAGUCUCAGCUUGAAGAAUGACUGACUACAAGCAGGAAAGUGGUGAAGACGAGGCUGGGGAGGCAGAUGGGGCCAGAGCAGGGUUUCCCAGGCUUAGCACUACUGACACUGGCAUAGGCCAGUCCUUGGUUGUGGGGCUCUCCUAUGCACAGCAGGAUGUGUGGCAGCCUCCCCGGGUUCCACCGGCUAGAUGUUAGCAGCACGCUGCUGGCCCAAGAAGUAACAAUCAAAAAUGUCUCCACACAUUGCCAAUGUCUCCUUGGCCAGCUGAGAACUGCUGGGCUAGGUCAUGCGGAUUCAGAGGAGCCCAGGAUUUCAUCCUGUGGCUGGGGGAGAGCACAGGUGAUCACCAAGCAGGACAGUGAGUAGGCCCCUGGGGACAGGGAACACUCACCCAGCAGAAGGAGGUCCUGGCAGUUGUCCAACGCUGUGUCCCAGAACACGUCCCCCUGCUCCAGCCCGAGCUGCUCCCAAUCUUCCAAGGUGAAGUCCAUGCCGACGUCCUUGAGGGUCACAAAUUCCUGAAACAAAAUACACUAUUGGUCACUCAGAGGCUGGGGUCAGGGAGGAGCCCAACAGCUCACUCAGGGCACCCCCAGCCCUCAAUCUGCCAGGCCUUUGGCAAAAACCAUCCCAUCCUCAGCCUCACAAGAAUCUUGAGACGUAAGAGACUGGAAACCCCUGUAUUUUGUAGGCAAAGAAAAGGAGUCUUGACCAGAGGACAGAAUGUCAACCAAGGUUAACACAGCCCCCAGGUUUGUGUGAUUUGUUACAGCAGCAGCAAGAUCCUGAAACAGUCGUCCCAAUGUGAUGCUAAGCAGGAAUUGGGUAGACGAGCCACGGGGAUCCUGUUUCUACUUACAACAGAUCCCGUCCAUCCUCUGCUCCAAACACUCCAAUGGCCUCCGAAUUCGUCGCAUUUAAAGACAAAGGCCAUACAAUGAUCUCCAGGGCCCUAAAGAUCAGGCCCCAGCUAUCCCUCAGGGCUUACCUUCUCCCCCUUUCCUGCACAUCCACUCUGCUCCAGCCCCACCUGCUUCCUUGCUGCUCCCCGAACACACCUGCCAGCUCCCAUCUUACAGUCAAGAUUGUGUCCCUCAGUUCUCUGCUUAAAUGCCUCUUCUCCAUGAGGCCUUCUCUGACCCCUCUAUAUAAAACAGCAAAUCCAC